AUAGAAGUGAUGUACAAGCCAUGUUUAUCUGUAAGAAAUAUCUUAUCAGUAUGGCCAACGUAUUUGAUAUAGACUAUAAGGUUGCCAACAUUAGUAAUUAGAUGAUGGGAAACAAUAAAGUUCACUAGUUAAGGGGAGUCAUGUGCAUCAACUAUGCAGUAUGACUUUGUUUACCACAUACUUAAAAGAAAAUUGUUAAAGUAACCUUGGUGUUGGGAAUGGUUUACAAAUAUUAGAAAUAAGGGAUCCAUUCUUGUGAGAGGAUAAUGA
rnacentral:lncRNA from 1 species